UCGGAAGCUAAGAUAGGUUGGGCCUGGUUAGUACUUGGAUGGGAGACCGCCUGGGAAUACCUGGUGCUGUAAACUU
rnacentral:rRNA from 1 species